GGGCCAAAUUCCCAAGGCUUCUGAAGGCUUAGGAGUUCUGGGUGGGGCUUAGAUAAUUUGCAUUUCUAACAAGUUCCCAGAUGAUGCUGAUGCUGCUUGCCUGGAGACCUUGUUUUGAGAAUCACCA
ensembl:miRNA Gm44490 predicted gene, 44490